rnacentral:rRNA from 1 species
UACGAAGGGUGCAAGCGUUACUCGGAAUUACUGGGCGUAAAGCGUGCGUAGGUGGUGAGUUAAGUCUGAUGUGAAAUCCCCGGGCUCAACCUGGGAAUGGCAUUGGAUACUGGCUCGCUAGAGUGCGGUAGAGGGUGGUGGAAUUCCCGGUGUAGCAGUGAAAUGCGUAGAGAUCGGGAGGAACAUCUGUGGCUAAGGCGGCCACCUGGACCAACACUGACACUGAGGCACGAAAGCGUGGGGAGCAAACAGG